AUUGCACGCUGGCGGCAGGCUUAACACAAGCAAGUCGAGCGAGCGGCGGACGGGUGAGUAAUGUCUGGGAAACUGCCAGAUGGUGGGGGAUAACUACUGGAAACGGUAGCUAAUACCGCAUACCAUCAGAUGUGCCCAGAUCGGAUUGGCUAGUAGGUGGGGUAAUGGCUCACCAAGGCGACGAUCCCUAGCUGGUCUGAGAGGAUGACGUGGGAAGCGUGAGAUGUGAAUCGGAGAAGAAGCGUAUGGGCGGGGCUGGGGGGGAAGGUGGCAGUACGGGCGAAGGCCUGAUGCCGCGAUGCCGGGUGGGUGUGGAGGGAAUUCGGGUUUUAAAGCACUUUCGGCGAUGAGAGGUUAGUCGUUGAAGAUGCACCGGCUGACUCUGUGCCAGCAGCCGCGGUAAUAC
rnacentral:rRNA from 1 species